UACGUAGGGUGCAAGCGUUGUCCGGAAUUAUUGGGCGUAAAGAGCUCGUAGGCGGUCUGUUGCGUCGGCUGUGAAAACCCGGGGCUCAACUCCGGGCCUGCAUUCGAUACGGGCAGACUAGAGUUCGGUAGGGGAGACUGGAAUUCCUGGUGUAGCGGUGAAAUGCGCAGAUAUCAGGAGGAACACCGGUGGCGAAGGCGGGUCUCUGGGCCGAUACUGACGCUGAGGAGCGAAAGCGUGGGGAGCAAACAGG
rnacentral:rRNA from 1 species